GGUUUCUCCGUGCCAAGGUAUUGUGCAGAGACCAUUUUUCCACGGCUGGAUUACUCAGCGGAUCCGCCUGUGCAGACCAUUCUUGCUAAGGAUGUUCAUGGAGAUACAUGGAAAUUUAGGCAUAUUUAUAGAGGGACACCAAGGAGACAUCUUUUAACUACUGGCUGGAGCACAUUUGUGAAUCAUAAAAAGCUGGUUGCAGGGGAUUCCAUAGUGUUUUUGAGGGCAGAGAAUGGAGAUCUUUGUGUUGGGAUUCGAAGAGCUAAGAGGGGAAUUGGAGGAGGUCCUGAGUCUUCUUGGAAUCCUGCAGGUGGGAACUGUGUUAUGCCUUAUGGAGGAUUCAGUGCUUAUUUUCUUCCUCUCUAAAAAAAGC
rnacentral:misc_RNA from 1 species